AAUCUACCUUGUCGUGGGGGAUAACGUAGGGAAACUUACGCUAAUACCGCAUACGAACUACGGUUGAAAGCGGCGGACCGCAAGGCGUCGCGCGAUUGGAUGAGCCGAUGUCCGAUUAGCUAGUUGGCGGGGUAAAGGCCCACCAAGGCGACGAUCGGUAGCUGGUCUGAGAGGAUGAUCAGCCACACUGGAACUGAGACACGGUCCAGACUCCUACGGGAGGCAGCAGUGGGGAAUAUUGGACAAUGGGCGCAAGCCUGAUCCAGCCAUGCCGCGUGUGU
rnacentral:rRNA from 1 species